rnacentral:lncRNA from 1 species
UUGCCUUGCUGGAGAAGGGGCUCAAGGCACAGGACUUGCCUCGGACUUGCCAAGGAGGCUUGCAGGAGGCUCUUUGUCUACUCCUCUGUCCUCAUCCAAGCACAUAGGAUAGGAAGGGGCCUCGCAUGGUGCCUCUCCCUUUAGGGGAAAUGGUUGUUCCAGAAAAAAUGCAGCAACACCUGAACUCUUCUAAAGAAAAAGAAGACAAAAUGAUCUAGUGCAUCUCUGCCAUCCUGUUGAAGAUCCUAUUUGAAAAAAGGGAGACACAGAGAAAGGUUUUUUUUUUUUUUUAAAAGUGAUAGAAUAAUCCAAAGUUAAAAAUUCAACACAAUGGAAAAUAUUAAUUCAAUCCAUGCUGCAAACAAG